AGCGCUGGAAUCACCCAUGAGUCCAAGAUGGAAGGCUGAUGAAGAGAAGGAACAGGGAGAGGGAAUUAACUUUCCUGAGCUCAGUGCUUGAGUGAGAGUCAGAUCUCCAUAUACCAAUCAUGGAGCAGAGGUGCUAUGAGAGAUUCCUAACUCCUGAACAACUGUGACAAAGAUAGGUGUCUGACCACCAAAUGUUCCUGUUUUCCCCACAAGUGGCAGCUCCGCCAGGGAAUGCAUAUUUCAUCUAGCCACCCCGGAUGUGGAUGUGUGAGAAGCCAGCCCACUUCGUGGAUGAGCGUAGGUAUCUGCCUUCCAGAGACCGGGGCUGCAGGCCGAAACGCCCGAACUACUACCAGAAGACACACACCUGUUUGUGAAUGGCGGCUUCUGCAUCACUUAGCUUUGUUGGGGGUGAAGGGAGAUCCUAGUAUAAGAUGUGUUGAUUUUCUCAGAGUAUAGCUGACGACAAAGGCCUGUGAAUUCCCAAACACUUGCCCUUCGACGUGAGGAACCUUCUGCAGUAUCUCCAGUGAGACAUUGCCCAGGGGAGUCAUGCACAAGUGGGCAGUCUCUUAUUCUGACCAGAAAUGAGGUACGUAACCAUACAUUCAUAGAUAUUGCUCAGGAACCCAGGCAAAAAUUAUAAUCCCCCUUGUCAUGUUAGACACUGCAAAAGCUGGGUUAGAGUUCCGAAUCUGCCCUUUUGAAGCUGUAUAACCCCACUCAAAGUAUUUGAUUUUUGAACCUUGAUUUCCUUAUCUGCAGAAUGGAGAUAAUACCUACCUCACAGCGCUAUUGUGAGUGUUAAAUGAAAAAAUGUAUGGAAAUUUGCCACCAGUAACAAAAGAACAUGGGGACAAGUGACUAUUGCAAAGUUAAAGUAUGUGCAGUACCUGGAAAGUAUGGAAAGUACCUGACACAAGAAUGUAUUGCUAAUGCCCAGAGAAGUGGAGAGGCAGGUCAUCUCUGUUGCCAGCUUAAAGUCUCCUGGUGCAGUUUCUCUCAAAAAGUGAAGCAAACCCGUUCACUGGAAUGUGAGGAACAUAGUGAUGGUAAGCAUACUGUGAUAAACUGGGCUGGAGGUUUUGAGUUCUCAUGUUAAAUCUUUUAAAGAAGCUCUGAUUUAUUGGGGGGUGAAAAUUAGGGCCUAUGAAACCUUUUUUUUUUUUUUUUUUUAAUGGAAGAAUCAACAAGUACCUUGCUCAUUUGUGAAAUAU
ensembl:lncRNA